rnacentral:rRNA from 1 species
GUGUCAGCCGCCGCGGUAAAACGUAGGAGGCGAGCGUUAUCCGGAUUCACUGGGCGUAAAGCGCGUGCAGGCGGUUCGGUAAGUUGGGCGUGAAAUCUCCCGGCUCAACUGGGAGAGGUCGUCCAAUACUACCGGACUUGAGAGCAGUAGAGGAAGAUGGAAUUCCCGGUGUAGUGGUGAAAUGCGUAGAUAUCGGGAGGAACACCAGUGGCGAAAGCGAUCUUCUGGACUGUUUCUGACGCUCAGACGCGAAAGCUAGGGUAGCAAACGGGAUUAGAUACCCUAGUAGUCC